CCCUGACGAGCUCUGUUGGUAAGACGUGAGACUCGUAAUCUCAGGGUAGUGGGUUCGUGUCCCACGUCAGGCA
rnacentral:tRNA from 1 species